rnacentral:lncRNA from 1 species
GGAGACAUGUUCGCCUAGAUGAUCUGCCUGGAUGGGCUGAGGUGCUAGAUGGUCUCUCAUUCCUCUUCCCUUAGUCCUCUUUAGAGGAAUAUUCAAUAAAUGGAAUAGAAACUUGGAUUAGACUGAGAGUUUAACUUGAACUUGUGCUCACCCGUAUGACAUGAUUACUGAAAGAAGGGAAGUUUUUCCUAAAACAUCUAAUAGCCUCCUGUCCAUAAGUGUGGCACUCUACACACCCA